AUUGAACGCUGGCGGCAUGCGUAACACAUGCAAGUCGAACGGUGUUUGGUGCUUGCACCAGACAUAGUGGCGGACGGGUGAGUAAUGCGUAGGAAUCUGUCUUAGAGAGGGGGACAACCCGAGGAAACUUGGGCUAAAACCGCAUAUUCUCGAGAGAGGAAAGCAGGGGACCGGAAACGGCCUUGUGCUCUAAGGUGAGCCUACGUCGGAUUAGCUAGUUGGUAGGGUAAAAGCCUACCAAGGCGAUGAUCUGUAGCUGGUCUGAGAGGACGGACAGCCACACUGGGACUGAGACACGGCCCAGACUCCUACGGGAGGCAGCAGUGGGAAAUAUUGGACAAUGGGGGGAACCCUGAUCCAGCGAUGCCGCGUGUGUGAAGAAGGCCUGCGGGUUGUAAAGCACUUUCAGUGGAAAGAGAAGCGUCUUGUGAAUAAUGGACGUGAGACGUACUCACAGAAGAAAGCACCGGCUAACUCUGUGCCAGCAGCCGGCGGUAAU
rnacentral:rRNA from 1 species